UACGAGGGGUGCAAGCGUUGCUCGGAAUUACUGGGCGUAAAGCGCACGUAGGCGGCUUUGCAAGUUAGAGGUGAAAGCCCGGGGCUCAACUCCGGAAUUGCCUUUAAAACUGCAUCGCUAGAAUUGUGGAGAGGUAAGUGGAAUUCCGAGUGUAGAGGUGAAAUUCGUAGAUAUUCGGAAGAACACCAGUGGCGAAGGCGACUUACUGGACACAUAUUGACGCUGAGGUGCGAAAGCGUGGGGAGCAAACAGG
rnacentral:rRNA from 1 species